rnacentral:misc_RNA from 1 species
GAAGUUCAAUACAAAGUGGACCGCCUUUCUCUUUGCUAUAUAUAUACAGAGAAGUCUAGAAAAUUCAGUUCAUUGUAUUGGAUCAUCAACUCGUUGAAAUCUGAGAUUAACAAUUAUGGAUAAAGCAAUCGAGAGACAAAGAGUUCUUCUUCAACAUCUACGUCCUUCACAGACGUCUUCUUCUUUGGAAAACAUUGAAUCAUCUAUUUCUGCAUCUGUCUGCUCUGCUGGAGACAGUGCUGCUUACCAGAGAACUUCCGUUUUUGGAGAUGAUGUUGUCAUAGUUGCUGCGUAUAGGACUCCUCUUUGCAAAGCAAAGAGAGGAGGCUUCAAGGAUACUUAUCCUGAUGAUAUACUUGCUGCAGUUCUAAAGGCGGUGAUUGAAAAGACUAAUGUGAACCCUAGUGAAGUUGGGGAUAUUGUUGUUGGCUCGGUGUUGGCCCCAGGUUCCCAGAGGGCAAGUGAAUGCAGGAUGGCUGCA